rnacentral:rRNA from 1 species
GGAAGGGGUGUAUUUAUUAGAUAAAAAACCAAUGCCCUUCGGGGCUCCUUGGUGAAUCAUAAUAACUUAACGAAUCGCAUGGCCUUGCGCCGGCGAUGGUUCAUUCAAAUUUCUGCCCUAUCAACUUUCGAUGGUAGGAUAGUGGCCUACCAUGGUGGCAACGGGUAACGGGGAAUUAGGGUUCGAUUCCGGAGAGGGAGCCUGAGGAACGGCUACCACAUCCAAGGAAGGCAGCAGGCGCGCAAAUUACCCAAUCCCGACACGGGGAGGUAGUGACAAUAAAUACUGAUACGGGGCUCUUUUGGGUCUCGUAAUUGGAAUGAGUACAAUCUAAAUCCCUUAACGAGGAACAAUUGGAGGGCAAGUCUGGUGCCAGCAGCCGCGGUAAUUCCAGCUCCAAUAGCGUAUAUUAAAGUUGUUGCAGUUAAAAAGCUCGUAGUUGAACCUUGGGUCUGGCUGGCCGGUCCGCCUCACCGCGAGUACUGGUCCGGCUGGACCUUUCCUUCUGGGGAAUCUCAUGGCCUUCACUGGCUGUGGGGGGAACCAGGACUAUUAC